rnacentral:rRNA from 1 species
AAGCGGUGGAGUAUGUGGUUUAAUUCGAUGCAACGCGAAGAACCUUACCUGGUCUUGACAUCCCGGAGACCCUUAGGAAACUAGGGGGUGCUUCCAUCUGGAAGAAUCUGGAGACAGGUGCUGCAUGGCUGUCGUCAGCUCGUGUCGUGAGAUGUUGGGUUAAGUCCCGCAACGAGCGCAACCCUCGCCUUAGUUGCCAGCAUUUAGUUGGGCACUCUAAGGGGACUGCCGGUGAUAAGCCGAGAGGAAGGUGGGGAUGACGUCAAGUCCUCAUGGCCCUUACGGGCUGGGCUACACACGUGCUACAAUGGUGGUGACAGUGGGCAGCGAGCACGCGAGUGUGAGCUAAUCUCCAAAAGCCAUCUCAGUUCGGAUUGCAGUCUGCAACUCGACUGCAUGAAGUUGGAAUCGCUAGUAAUCCCGGAUCAGCAUGCCGGGGUGAAUACGUUCCCGGGCCUU